AAGAGACAGCAGUCGCCACGGUAAAACGUAGGUGGCAAGCGUUGUCCGGAAUUAUUGGGCGUAAAGGGCUCGCAGGCGGUUUCUUAAGUCUGAUGUGAAGGCCCCCGGCUCAACCGGGGAGGGUCAGUGGAAACUGGGAAACUUGAGUGCAGAAGAGGAGAGUGGAAUUCCACGUGUAGCGGUGAAAUGCGUAGAGAUGUGGAGGAACACCAGUGGCGAAGGCGACUCCCUGGUCUGUAACUGACGCUGAGGAGCGAAAGCGUGGGGAGCGAACAGGAUUAGAUACCCCGGUAGUCCCUGUCUCUUAUAC
rnacentral:rRNA from 1 species